UAAGGUAAUAGGAAGGAAUAGGGAGGGAGGCGUACAUAAGCAUAAUAACUAACAGCUGCAACAGUGAGGGGGAGAGAAAUGGAGUCUGACUCUAAUGGAAAGCAGGUGGUGCUCAUAACAGGCUGUUCUAGCGGCGGUAUCGGCCACGCGCUCGCCAGGGAGUUUGCCUCCAGGGGCUGCCUCGUCGUCGCCACCGCCCGCUCCCUCUCCUCCAUGCCCGACCUCGCCGACGAUUCCAGCUUCUUCCUCCAACAGCUCGACGUCACCUCCGACGACAGCGUGCGCCACGCUCUCUCCGCGGUUAUGGAGAAAUUCGGCCGCAUAGAUAUCGUUGUCAACAACGCUGGCGUCCCCUGCAUCGGUCCCCUCGCUGAGGUUCCACUCUCCGCUGUACAACAGACCUUCGACACUAAUGUUUUUGGUUCGAUGAGGUUGAUUCAGGCGGUAGUUCCGCACAUGGCUUCGAGGAAGAAGGGCAAAAUUGUGAACGUAGGCAGCGUCACAGGUUUGGCCCCAAUUCCAUGGGGAGGUGCUUACACUGCAUCCAAAUCUGCUCUCCACGCCAUAACUGAUGUUCUAAGAUUGGAACUUAGGCCAUUCGGAAUCAAUGUGAUCAACUUAGUACCAGGAGCUGUGUCGUCGAAUAUAGGGAACUCAUCGUUGUCAUCAUACAACCGAAUGCCGGAGUGGAAACUGUACAAGGAGUUUACGGCGGCGAUACAGGCAAGGGCUGUCUAUUCUCAGGGCCCUAAGUCGACUCCGGCGACGGAGUUUGCAAAGCAAACAGUUGAUGCAGUGCUGAAGAAGAAUCCGCCUGCUUGGCUGACGAUAGGUCAUCAAUCUAUGGUAAUGGCGAUCAUGUACUAUGUGCCAAUUUUGGUUCGGGAUUUUCUCAUAAGGAAGAGAUUCAAGUGUUAGAUCGCAUUCUCAGAGUAUCCGAUGGGCUCUAUACCGGAAAGAAAUUUCUCCAAAUUUGCAGGUACUACAGUUUCAUUACAAUAUCAACAUAUUGAGAAUAAACCGUGAGCAAGCAGGAGUUAAAAUCGUGACCGACGCAAGUUCCAAACUUUUUUAUUGUCUAGUGUAACUUACUUUUUUUUCGUGAAAAUCGCAUCCGUCACUAGUUGAAAGUGCCCACUAGAUGUGAUUUACUUUAUUUUCUAAUUUGGAUGUUAAUUAAACUCUGCCUCGAUUUAC